UUUAAGGUCAUUAUUUAGUAACACCAAACAAAAGAACUACGUAAAUUGGACUUGAUUUGAUACUAUAACUGCCCUUUAAUGUUUACUAGAUAACUUUAUUUUCGAGAUUCCGUAUAUCGUCAAAUUAUCGUAAUUCCAAUGGAAACUGACUGUGCACCAGUUAUUGCGGAUCGGUUUCUGUAUUAUCAUGAAUUACAAUUGAUGACUAAAAUCAGCAAAAACCGAUCGAAACAGCCUCUGAUACAAAAAUUCAAUAACACUUUUCGAUAUUUGGAUGACAUUUUGGGUUUUAAUAAUGACGACUUUAGUAUGCAGAUUAAAGAUACUUAUCCUGCUGAACUGACUUUAUGAAAAGCUAAUAGUAACAAUGAAGACUGCCUUUUCCUGUAUCUUGAUAUCUAUAUAUUUAACGGACGCUAAAUAUCAUCAUUUUAUAAUAAGAGUUGUUAAUUAUCUUUUUUUUAAGAAAGUGAUGUGUCCUUGUCAUCACCGUAUCGUGUCUAUAUAUAUUAACUUGUGCAAUUCGCUUUUAUAUGUAACAACGUAUUUGAUUUUAAUAAAAAAAUUAAUCUACAUUGGCUAGAGGUACAUGUAUUGGAUCUCACAAAUCAUGUUUAAGCUUGCCACACUUUUGCGCCUGUCUAUAGUCAGUAGCCUCUGGCCUUUUUUCCUCUUGUAUUAUUUUGAAUUCAGUUUGACGUUCAUUUUAAUUGAACUAGUACACAUUAGUUUUUAGGUGCCAACUAAGGUCUUCCUCUGUGUUGGAUUUUCUCGCUUUGUUGAAAACCCAUUUGUAGACUUCAGUUGUUUGUUUUGUACUCUUUGGUCGGGUUUUUGUCUCUUUGAUACAUUCUCGUCUACAAGAGACUCAUCAGUGACGCUCGAGUCAAAAAAAGUUAAAAAGGCCAAAUAAAGUACGAAGUUGAAAAGCAUUGAGGACCAAAAUUCCGAAAAGUUUUGCCAAAUACAGCUAAGGUAAUCUAUGCCUGAGGUAGAAAAGCCUUAGUAUUUCGAAAAAUUAAAAAAAUUGUAAACAGUUAAAAGAUUGUUUUAAAACUGGCACUGUGUCAACAAGAGAACAAGCUUACAUUACAAAAAAAAAUUAAAUUUGGGUAUUUUUCUAAUUCGUAUAACGGCAAUGUUGCUUUAUCAUGACGACCUAGAUUACAGUAGGAUUAUACAGGCUCUUAAAAUUAAAAUGUUAAUACGCCAAUUCCUGCAUGGCACGAAUCAACAAUUUGUCGCAAAUUGACGAAUUACAUGUUUCCUUAUGUCCGUAAACAAAGAACAUUGUCUUUGAUGGAAAUUUCGGUCUCUCGGUUUAAUUCGGACGCGUAACCGUAGUGUAAUUGCUAUAAAGAAUAACAAAAAAUCGUAAAAAAGUAAAAAUAAGGAAGCAAGAAAAGAUGUAGAGAAACACCAUGCACGUUGAACUUUAAGUUAAAAUAACUUUAUCUUACCUGCUUUUUUUAAGUUUUUGUCCAACUGGUUCUUAAAACAUGAUGAUUUCAUUCUUCCCAUUUCGUAAAUAGUCAAAUGUGUAGCAUUUACCCAUUAUAUUACACAA
rnacentral:lncRNA from 1 species